UCCCACACUCAAAGCCAACGACAAAGUGGAGGAGGGGUGAAGGCACCAGCUAAGAAAAUGGUGAGGAGUCCGACGACAAGUUUCAAGAAACCCGUCGGUCCCAUGGUCCUGGAGUACGACAAGGCGGGCCAACCUACAGGCAAAUGGCGUCGUCAAUAUACUAUUCAUGUUGGCAUUUGUGCGCGCAAAAUCCCGAUUACACUUGGUUGGCGGGAAGUAACUCCAGGCUUGAUUGACAUAUUUUGGAAUGAUACAAGGGCAAGCUUUUUGUUUGCACAUUUACACAGUUAUAAAUACCUUCACUUUAUUGUUAUUUAAAAAUCGAAACUAAUAAUUUAUUUUAUUUGUGCUUGCAGAGUCUGUUUAAUAUUCCAAAUGUUGCCGCCAAGCGAAGGGUGUUUGAAUCUUUACUAGCGGAAAGAUUCAGAGGCUUCAAGACCUCCUUAGUUCGUGGUUGGAUCACAAAGACAGUUGUGAAAAAACCAAAGAAGAAGAAAGAAGGUGGCAAUGAUGAUGAAGUCAUCGAGGAAGAGCAACUCCCUUGGCAAAAAUGGCCAAGCAUAUCGAAGGAUGAUUGGGAAGCUUUCGUUCUUCAAAAAAGUAAAAAGGAAGCAAUUGAACUGAGGGAGCAAAAUUCCAAAUAUGCAAGGAUGAAGCUAUACACCCAACGUAUGGGGUGUAAGACAUUUGGUGAAUGGAGGGAAACAUGGGUCAAUGAAGGAGUAUACCCCACUUCGCUUCAAGGGUCCUCUAAAGUACCCUCUGAUUCCACGAUCACUACGCUGGUGAGUCGUGCUGGUGAUUUCUUCUAUUCUCUGCAUGCGCGUGACAAGGAAACCGGAAAAUGGGUCAUUAAGGCUCCAAAAACCAAAGAAAUGGCAGAUAAGCUCGUUGAACACACUGAAGAACUGGUUGAAGGAAAGCUCGUCCCAAGUGUAGAAAAAGACCCUUUCACCUUGGCUUUGGGAAAGCCCUACCAUCCAGGACGGGUAGUAGGUGCAGGAGGGUGAUUGCUCGGAUGGGAAAAGGUGAUGGGUCCAGAAUACACCAAAACAGGAAGAUCGAGCAAGUGUUAACUCACCUCAUGACUUGGUUUCCACGGUGGCAUCAAUUAAGGAACAAGUGCGCAACGAGCUCGUAGGUGAAUUCAAUGCUUGGGCGAAGCAAAUGAACUUACCGAGCUUGCCGUUCCCCUCGGUUACACUAGUCGACUCAUGUAGUCACCCAAAAGGACAAGGAGAAGAUGAAAUACAUGGAGAGGAUGAUAUACAUGAGGGUGGUACUCCUACACAUGCGGACUCGAGGGAGCUCGAUAAUCCAGCACCUCAUCAUUUUCCAGAUUUACAGGAAGAGACCCGUUGUGCACUUCUACACCCGGGCGAAUCUGGAGCUUUGCAUGUGGUUGCAUAUGGUAGUGCACAACCGGCCGAACAAGGUACGGUCCAUUUGCGACCGCUUAGGUCACAACAUUACUCGGUCGGGAUCAAUUCUAUGAUUGCCGGGUUCGAGGACAUCCUAAUACUGGUGCCCGUAGAGGAGGAUGAGUUUACUACACUUAGGGCAGCAAAAGGUAGCUUCGUGCAGUGGCCAUGUGCUUGGGUAAGGUUGAUGAACCAGAUUUCGAAAAAAAAACCAACCUUCAAAGAGGAGGGUAGAGCACCCUGAAAGCAUUGAUCAACCGCUGCCAAAGAAGAGGAGUGAACAACGGUCGGAGAGUGACAUAGGGUCGAAGAAGAACUCUUCGAGAGGUUCAGCUAUGCUAGCAACUCCGCUUCUUGCUGACACGGUCCUUCAAAUGCUCUCUAAAGAUUUAACUUUUCUACACAAUCGUGUUAGUAUGUUGCCUAGUGACACUCCCAUUCAAGUUGCACUACCUAUGGCAAUGUUCCACUUUGAUGAGGAUGCAGUUGCAUGGCUUAGCAAAGAAGAUGUGAAGGAAUUUCUAACUGGUUCAAUGCUUAACAUUUCCCUCAUUCAAACAUUCAUGAGAGCACUACAGGAGCACUUACUUGAGAUUGAUUCUCCGUGUCAAGUAGGGUGGUUAUGCCCCAAGCAGAUCUCCACUACUAGAAUCUUAGGCAACUACCCUGACGUGUUGUAUUAUGUUGAACGGGGUAUCAAGGAAUCAGUGCGUGCGGGAGACAAGUUCAUAUUCGCCCCAUGUUUUGAGGAUUCACAUUGGACCCUGUUGGUGAUUUGUGUUUCCGGUAACACAAUCUUCCUUUUUGAUUCAGCUUGAUUGCCUCAUCCAAAAAAGCUCCUCGUGAAGUCUAUACUGCGAAAUGUUAUGAAGAAGAUAAAUUGUCGAGCUCCUCAAGGUCCCACAUGGAAAUCACUGAUGUGUUAUGAAGAAGAUAAAUUGUCGAGCUCCUCAAGGUCCCACAUGGAAAUCACUGAUGUGCGCACAACAAGAUAACAGAGUUGAUUGUGGACUAUAUGUGAUGAGAUUCAUGUUCGACAUACUGAGUCGUUGUACAGACACACUACAGCUU